UACGUAGGGUGCAAGCGUUGUCCGGAAUUAUUGGGCGUAAAGAGCUUGUAGGCGGUUUGUCGCGUCUGCUGUGAAAUUUCGGGGCUCAACCCCGAACUUGCAGUGGGUACGGGCAGACUAGAGUGUGGUAGGGGAGACUGGAAUUCCUGGUGUAGCGGUGAAAUGCGCAGAUAUCGGGAGGAACACCAGUGGCGAAGGCGGCACUCUGGGCCAGUACUGACGCUGAGGAGCGAAAGCGUGGGGAGCGAACAGG
rnacentral:rRNA from 1 species